CAAGGCUGCCAUUUCCUUUGUGAACAUACAAGGAAAUCAUUGAAAACUGCUGGGAGUACUUCAAAAUGAGGAUGACCUUUGGCAUGCAUGACUGGAGCACAACUAAAUGGAAGGGACCAACCAUGUCACAUCCUGUGCAGCAAGACGGUGACAGUUGUGGGGUAGUUGUGGUGUUGAUUGCCAGGGAACUCAUGGUGUGUUUUCCUCUCUUGCCACAAAUUACAUUUGGAACAUCUGGCACGGAAAUGGCAGCCGUUAGACAAGAGCUGGCACAAAUGCUUCUCUCCGAUUCUGUGUUUGAGUCCGAUAGCAACUGUGCAAUGUGUUCCAAUUCCACGCCUCCAGGUUCCAGUGCUCUACUUACAGAUUGG